rnacentral:rRNA from 1 species
CUACCGGGGUAUCUAAUCCUGUUCGCUCCCCACGCUUUCGUACCUCAGCGUCAGUAACCGUCCAGUAAGCUGGCUUCCCUAUCGGUGUUCCUCAUGGUAUCUAUGCAUUUCACCGCUACACCAUGAAUUCCGCCUACCUCUACGGCACUCAAGAUUGUCAGUAUCCAAGGCAGUUCCACCGUUGAGCGGUGGGCUUUCACCCCGGACUUAACAUUCCGCCUACGUACCCUUUAAACCCAAUAAAUCCGGACAACGCUUGCACCCUCCGUAUUACCGCGGCUGCUGGCAC